GGGGUACUAGCUCAAGGGCAGAGCAGUCGGUUCUUAACCGAUCGAUCGGGGUUCGACUCCCUGGUGCCUCACCA
rnacentral:tRNA from 2 species